ensembl:snoRNA LOC120102011 small nucleolar RNA SNORA44
UUGCUUUCCAAAGUUGUGGUUGUUCCAACUGCAUGCCAGAGUAACGGAGAGACUUUGACAGCCCAGGUUAUCACAGUGCCUGCUGUUGCCACUCAGCUCUCCUAUAUGU